AGACGUCUACAUUAGAUACCCGCGUAGUCCCAGCCGUAAACUAUGCGCGUUAGGUGUAUCGGUGACCACGAGUCACCGAGGUGCCGAAGGGAAACCGUGAAACGUGCCGCCUGGGAAGUACGGUCGCAAGGCUGAAACUUAAAGGAAUUGGCGGGGAGCACCACAACGGGUGGAGCCUGCGGUUUAAUUGGACUCAACGCCGGGAAGCUCACCGGAUAAGACAGCGGAAUGAUUGCCGGGCUGAAGACUCUGCAUGACAAGCUG
rnacentral:rRNA from 1 species